UACGUAGGGGGCUAGCGUUAUCCGGAAUUACUGGGCGUAAAGGGUGCGUAGGUGGUUUCUUAAGUCAGAGGUGAAAGGCUACGGCUCAACCGUAGUAAGCCUUUGAAACUGGGAAACUUGAGUGCAGGAGAGGAGAGUGGAAUUCCUAGUGUAGCGGUGAAAUGCGUAGAUAUUAGGAGGAACACCAGUUGCGAAAGCGGCUCUCUGGACUGUAACUGACACUGAGGCACGAAGGCCAGGGGAGCGAAAGGG
rnacentral:rRNA from 1 species